GGUUGUUAUUCUGUUCCUGUAGAAACAAAAGGAUGUUUCUGGUUUAGUUCAUUGCUAGAGGUGUUCAAGAUCAAUCGACUAGCACUGCUUGUUGAAGACUGACAACAGAAUUUUAGGUUUCAUUGAAUCCUAGUUCAUGUACACCACCAGUUCAUGUGUCCCAAAUGGCCAGGAAAUCAGGCAGCUCUGCUAGCCAUGUGGGCCACAAUGAUAAUCAGGUGGGAUAGCUUGACCAUACAUGCUUGAAGUUCCUCUUUAAAUGAAUUUUUACUAUUAUUAUUACUGUUUGUGCAUGACAUAAUGACUUUUACUUCAAAUGCCCUAUUUCAAAUUGAGCUUCUACUUCAAGGUGACCAUUUCAAAUUGAACAAAAAAUGGCUUUUAAUACCUGAGCCAGUUGCACUCCAAAAUCUAGUUUUAAUUCCUUGUUUGAGAAUUACGUUUUUCCUCUACUUUUUCUGGAGCUAAACCUCAACCAGAAGUAUAUAGUUGAAUACUGAUUUAUGGUUAGUUUUGGCUCCUUAUUUGGGCUUCUAGAUCUUACUCACACCAUUCAUUUCUAUCAGUUCCCCAGCUGCUUGAGCAUAUGCGAGUAUCCAUAGAUCUUCAUUUUAUUGGUCUUUAUAGUAAAAAUGAAAUUAGUGAUUGGUGUUAGUCCAUUGGAUCAAUCCUUUCCUUGUUCUAAUGUUGAAUCGUAACAAGGUGUGAUUUCAUAUAAACAGAUGGAUUGAUGGAAAAAUAUGUAUUGUUUCCUUUUCAUAUUGAUGGAAAAAUAUGCAAGUCUUGUUGAACCCAACCAGCCAACCUAGUUUUUUGCUUGGGGCAUGUAAGUAUCUGACAUCUGAUACUUGGAUGCAAUCUACUAACUCCAUGCAUUUUGAAGUUCAAUUGUGAUAAUAUUAGGAUGUGAUACUGUUUUAUCUGUGAUACUAAUAAAAGAAAUCAUGAUGUGAUACUGAUAAGCUAUUCCAAUAUUUAUCUGUGAUAUGGCUGCUAGCAUAUUUGAUUUUACUAAAUUGAAUUAAGGGGUAUUUUUGUUUUUUGUUCCAUUGUUGUUGUCAUCUUGCACAUCAAAUAGCUAGCAUCCUUUUACAGAUUUUUAAUACGGCCUUGUAUUUACAUUCAAUGUUAUAGGCAAAGUUAAAGGAGUCUCAGUAUCACAGUAUAGAGGUGCUACAAGAUCCUGGUAGGAAUCUAACUCUCUUUGGAGAGAGAGAGAGAGAGAGAGAGAGAGAGAGAGAGAGAGAGAGAGAGAGGGCAUGAAUGAUAAUGAUAAUGAUAACAAUAACUAGUUGGGUUUCUCACUCUCUCCUCACAUGAACAUGGAUGCAUCUACAGACCCACAUUAACAUCAUCAUCAUUACCACCAUCGUCAGUAACAUCAUCAUCAGUAUCAUCAAACACAAGCUACAGCUGUUAUUUCUCUUGUAGUUCCAACCAGCUUCUUUCUAGCUCCUCAGAUGGAAACACAAGGUGGGGCCCUUUACUCCUAGUUGUCUGUAAUGCCACUGAAAUCUGAUGGCUCCCUUUGUAUCAUGGAGGCUCUUACAAGAUCACAGCAAGGUGAAGGAGUGAUGCCAACUUCCUCUCCCAAGCUUGAAGAUUUCCUGGGUGGUGCAACCAUGGGAGCCCACCAUUACGGAUCCAUUGAUAGGGAAGCUAUGUCUCUAAGCUUAGAAAACAUGUAUUACCAACACAACCUAGGCCAUGGGAACUUAUGGAUGGAUUUAAGCAAUUUUCCAGAGUUGAAGAGCCCAGAGUUAUCAGAGAGCAGCCUUUAUAGUUACAUCCACCAAUACAUCCAGUCAUUGUAGAGGGAAGCCAGGUUGGACAUGAUUGAAGGAAUAAAUGAGAAGAUUCGAAAAUGUUUCAAAAAUCCAAAAUUAUCAAAUAUAACCUAGCCUGCUGCUUUAUGUUGAUCUGCAAACCAAUGACCUAUGGAGUUCAUCAUUUGAAGAUCCAGUUCUCCAAAAGGCUCUUGAAACGAAAUGGAGCCAAGUUCUAUCCACAAUGAAGCAUGUCCAUAUCAAGCAAGCAUCAGAAGAAAAAUAUGAAGGUAGCCGCCACUUUACUGAGAUGCACCUACAACUUUUACCGAGAGAGCUCAUGUGGAACACUUCCAUCAGGUAUUAACCUGUAUACUGUACCAUCUCAUUUAACAACAGAAGGACCAUGACAACCAUCUAAGGACAAUGUCGACUACCUUGUUUUGAGCACCUCGAGGAAGCUUCUCUUAUGGGCAUACACGCUGGUGCAUGGUCGUUACUCAAACAUUCUAGCAGUUGUAAAGCAUUGCAAAGAAAAUACGAAGUUUGCCAGAGUUGAAGAGCCCAGAGUUAUCAAGGAUGUGCACAGGAUUAACAGCAGGCAGUUCCCGUGUCAAACGGCAGGCAACAACAUUCUCUAGGCCUUCUCCAGCCCUUUAGGCAGCUGAUUCCAGCCCAACAGCAAUAGCAGUAGCAGUAGCACCAAUACUUCCAGCCACUACAGGAGGGGAUAUGCACAGGAUUAACAGCUCAUGACAUGUACCAGACUGCCUUGGAAGUGGCACCGAAGGAAGCCCAGAUCCCUCUAAUGCGGCAGAUGGAAUACCAGGCCUGAAGAAAUGGUGGAAGAGAUCGCUUGGGUUGUGGGGGAUAGAUGAGAAGACAUUGAAGAGGAGGAUUUGCAGUAGAUGUCAUAUCUAAAGGCAGAGUGAUCAUUUUAGAAAAGAGCAAGGAAUUGUUGGAUUAUAGAAGCCUGAAAAUGAUAUGUUGUAUUGAAAUUGGAAUUGAAAUUGAAAUGUAUACUAGAAAAGAAGGAAAAGAUUAUUAUGUGUGUAAAUCAUUCUAUUGUCUUUUUCUUCUAUUUGUAUAAUUAUUUGGCAUAUAAUACAAGUAGAUUACAUACCCCA